rnacentral:rRNA from 1 species
AUGAUCUGCUUCCCAAAGCACAACCUUCUAGGUUUGAGGACAGCAAUGGGGGAGACUGCCGGAGAGCGCGCCCUGAGCCGUAUCCACAGCGUGAGGGAGCGCAUCGGCGAUUCCCUCUCCGCGCACACCAAUGAGCUUGUCGCCGUCUUCUCAAGGCUUGUUAACCAAGGAAAGGGGAUGCUGCAGCCCCAUCAGAUAACUGCUGAGUACAAUGCCGCGAUCCCAGAGGCCGAGCGUGAGAAGCUCAAGGACACCGCCUUUGAGGAUCUCCUAAGGGGCGCACAGGAGGCAAUUGUCAUCCCUCCAUGGGUUGCUCUCGCCAUCCGGCCAAGGCCCGGCGUCUGGGAGUAUGUGAGGGUCAAUGUGAGCGAGCUUGGUGUUGAGGAGUUAAGCAUCGCUGAGUAUUUGCAGUUCAAGGAACAACUGGCGAAUGGAAGCAUCGAUAACAACUUUGUGCUUGAGCUGGACUUUGAGCCAUUCAACGCCUCCUUCCCUCGCCCAUCGCUGUCGAAGUCCAUUGGCAACGGUGUGCAGUUUCUGAACAGGCACUUGUCAUCGAAGCUGUUCCAUGACAAGGAGAGCAUGUACCCAUUGCUCAACUUCCUUCGCGCGCACAACUACAAGGGGAUGACCAUGAUGUUGAACGACAGAAUUCGGAGUCUCAGUACCCUCCAAGGUGCACUCAGGAAGGCAGAGACACAUCUGUCAGGCCUUCCAGCUGACACCCCUUACUCGGAGUUCCACCACCGGUUCCAGGAACUUGGUCUGGAGAAAGGUUGGGGCGACUGUGCUCAGCGUGCGAGUGAGACUAUCCACCUUCUCUUGGACCUUCUCGAGGCCCCUGAUCCAUCCUCCUUGGAGAAGUUCCUCGGAACAAUCCCAAUGGUGUUCAAUGUUGUUAUCCUCUCUCCUCAUGGUUACUUUGCUCAGGCCAAUGUCUUGGGGUACCCUGAUACUGGUGGACAGAUUGUCUACAUUUUGGACCAAGUCCGUGCUAUGGAGAAUGAGAUGCUGUUGAGAAUCAAGCAGCAAGGUCUUGACAUUACACCAAAGAUUCUAAUAGUCACCAGGUUGCUCCCUGAUGCACAUGGCACCACCUGUGGCCAGCGCCUUGAGAAGGUCCUUGGCACCGAGCACACCCACAUCCUGCGUGUGCCAUUCAAAACAGAAGAUGGUAUUGUUCGCAAAUGGAUCUCCCGCUUUGAAGUCUGGCCUUACCUGGAAGCUUACACUGAUGAUGUGGCACACGAGAUCGCCGGAGAGCUGCAGGCCACUCCUGACCUGAUCAUUGGAAACUACAGUGAUGGCAACCUAGUCGCGUGUUUGUUGGCUCACAAGUUGGGAGUUACUCAUUGUACCAUUGCGCAUGCACUCGAGAAAACCAAGUAUCCCAACUCCGACCUUUACUGGAAGAAAUUUGAGGAUCACUACCACUUCUCCUGCCAGUUCACAGCUGACCUGAUUGCAAUGAAUCAUGCUGACUUCAUCAUCACCAGUACUUUCCAAGAGAUUGCCGGAAACAAGGACACCGUAGGGCAGUACGAGUCGCACAUGGCAUUCACAAUGCCAGGCCUCUAUCGUGUUGUCCAUGGUAUUGAUGUCUUCGACCCCAAGUUCAACAUCGUCUCCCCUGGUGCUGACAUGUCCAUCUACUUCCCAUACACUGAACAGCAGAAGAGGCUUACCUCCCUCCAUACUGAGAUUGAGGAGCUACUCUUCAGUGAUGUUGAGAAUGCUGAGCACAAAUUUGUGCUGAAGGACAAGAAGAAGCCGAUCAUCUUCUCGAUGGCUAGGCUGGACCGUGUCAAGAAUAUGACUGGCCUGGUAGAAAUGUAUGGGCGGAAUCCUCGCCUACAGGAGCUGGUAAACCUGGUGGUUGUUUGUGGUGACCAUGGAAAGGUGUCCAAGGACAAGGAGGAGCAGGCAGAGUUCAAAAAGAUGUUUGAUCUUAUCGAACAGUACAACCUGAUUGGUCACAUCCGCUGGAUCUCUGCUCAGAUGAACCGUGUCCGCAAUGGUGAGCUCUACCGCUACAUCUGCGACAUGAAGGGAGCCUUUGUGCAGCCUGCUUUCUAUGAGGCUUUCGGUCUUACCGUGAUAGAGGCCAUGACAUGUGGCCUUCCAACAUUCGCCACUGCAUAUGGUGGUCCAGCUGAGAUCAUUGUGCACGGUGUGUCCGGCUACCACAUCGAUCCUUACCAGAAUGACAAGGCCUCCGCACUGCUUGUGGACUUCUUUGGGAAGUGCCAGGAAGACCCGAGCCACUGGAACAAGAUCUCGCAGGGAGGACUCCAGCGCAUCGAGGAGAAGUACACCUGGAAGCUGUACUCUGAGAGGCUGAUGACCCUUUCUGGUGUCUAUGGUUUCUGGAAGUAUGUCUCCAACCUCGACAGGCGCGAGACUCGUCGCUACCUUGAAAUGCUCUACGCCCUCAAGUACCGCAAAAUGGCUGCAACUGUCCCAUUGGCUGUUGAGGGCGAGACCUCGGGCAAAUGA